rnacentral:piRNA from 1 species
UUUUUAAUUUGUACAUAUAGC